rnacentral:lncRNA from 1 species
GCUGUGGUUUCCAGGAUGCACUUGACUUCCCAUCCUUUAUAACCUGGAGCAAUUUUUCUGUAAGUAGGUCACUUGCUUGCUCUCAUUUACCUGAUUCUAGGAACAUGCCCUUGGAAGAAUUUUGGAAGAGAUUCUGUAUUGGUACUUAACAUAUUAAAAAUUAAGAUUGCAUGAAUUCUUUCUCUGAUCCUCUUUCUCUAUUAGCCAGAAUAACUUGUAAACUUGAAGCAUAAAUGAACAAGAAGAAUUUCAGAUCUUUUGUUUUCUAAGCACAAGUUCACUUAAAGUCUAUGUACAUUCUGUUAGCUCCUGUGAUUCACUAUGUUUAGCAUUGGCAUGGUGCUUAGUUCCCAAAAUCACAGUUUGAGUCUGCACUCUAUCAGAUAUGAACUUCUCAGGAAAAGAGGGUGUCUAGUAGUAGGAGGAGUUUAAUUAAUAAAAUUAAUAAUUUUUGUUUGUUUUUUCAUACUGGGGAUUUUUUACCAGGGAUACUUUACCACUGAACUACAUCCCCAACCCUUUCUGUUCUGUAUUUUAAUUUAUUGGUACUGUGGAUUUACCAAGGGGUGCUUAACCAUUGAGCCACAUCCCUAACCUUUUCUAUUUUUUAUUUUGAGACAGAAUUUCUCUAAAUUGCUUAGAACCUGGCUAAGUUGCUGAGGCUGGCUUUGAACUUUUGACCCUCCUUGCCUCUGCCUCCUAAAUUGCUGGGAUCACAGGUGUUUGCCAUUGUGCCCAGCCCAGCUUAUUUUCUUAUUUUGAGACAGGGUCUCACUAAAUUGAGGAGACUGGCUUAGAACUUUACCUUAGCCUCCUGAAUUGCUGGAGAUUACAGGCAUGCACCACUAUGCUCGCCAGUAAAUGUCUUUUUUUUUGGUCUUUCAAAAUUUGACAUAUUUAAUAGAUAAUUUCAGGCCCUAUUGCUAUAGAUUUAACCUCUGGAGAGAAGUAUGGCGGUGGAGUGGAGGAAUGAUAAAUGGUAAAAAGUAGAACAGGUAAAGAAAUAAUUUUACUGACCGCAAUUAUUAUUGCCCUAUCAUGACAGGUCUGCUCUUGAUGCGUCCAUCAGAAACAGAAUCAGAAUGAUUUCCAGGCUUAAGAACAUGGACUUUGGCGGAACUAGGGAUAUAGCUCAGUUGGCAGAGUGCUUGCCUCUGAUGCACAAGGCCCUAGGUGUAAUUCCCAGCACACACACACACACACACACACACACACAACAACAACAACAACAACAUGGAUCUUUGCCACAGUCUGGCUGGGCACAAAUCACGAGCCACCACACAGCUUGUAGAUUCAAACAGCAACUCUUUAUUCCCGAACUCACACCAGCCGUCUACAAUCACGUUCUGGGGAAAUCCACGUUCUCUGCCCAAAUCCACCUCCACUGGGCUUCUAUCUCCCAAAAUAUACUGUCUGAAUCCCUUGAGAACUCAAGGGGAACUCAGGCAGCAGGAUACGCCCUAUUCCCAGCAGGAAUAAUCUUAAACCUGGAACGCCCUAAACCCGAUUAUCCUAAACCGGGAACACCCUAAUCCGCCCUGGUCCUUGAGC